GCGAGAGUGGCGGAACGGCAGACGCGGCGGACUUAAAAUCCGCUCCCGGUUACGGGGUGGGGGUUCGACUCCCCCCUCUCGCACCA
rnacentral:tRNA from 1 species